rnacentral:rRNA from 1 species
UACGGGGGGAGCAAGCGUUGUUCGGAUUUACUGGGCGUAAAGAGCGCGCAGGCGGUUGUGCAAGUCGCGUGUGAAAGCCCCCGGCUCAACUGGGGAGGGUCACGCGAUACUGUUCGACUUGAAGGCAGGAGAGGGAAGUGGAAUUCCCGGUGUAGUGGUGAAAUGCGUAGAGCUCGGGAAGAACAUCGGUGGCGAAAGCGCUCUACUGGACUGCAACUGACACUGAGGGACGAAAGCUAGGGGAGCGAAUGGG